rnacentral:misc_RNA from 1 species
GAUGAAGAACGCAGCGAAAUGCGAUAAGUAAUGUGAAUUGCAGAAUUCAGUGAAUCAUCGAAUCUUUGAACGCACAUUGCGCCCGUCAGUAUUCUGGCGGGCAUGCCUGUUCGAGCGUCAUUACGCCCCUCAAGUCCCCUGUGGACUUGGUGUUGGGGAUCGGCGAGGCUGGUUUUCCAGCACAGCCGUCCCUUAAAUUAAUUGGCGGUCUCGCCGUGGCCCUCCUCUGCGCAGUAGUAAAACACUCGCAACAGGAGCCCGGCGCGGUCCACUGCCGUAAAACCCCCCAACUUUUUAUAGUUGACCUCGAAUCAGGUAGGACUACCCGCUGAACUUACGCAUAUCAAUAAGCGGAGGA